CUUCUGAAACAUUGCAUUUGUCAUUUCCUGGUCCCACGCAGGUUAAUUAGUUCAGUGCCUUUUACCCGAGUAUUCAAGUUACCUCGGCUUCCAGUCAACUUUAACCCGCCUUCCGUCAGUGCUCAGGUUCUGAUGCGCCUGCUGGCUAUUUUUCAGAGACCUUUAUAUUGUUUUCUUUAGUCAUCUGAACAAAUAUUGUUGAAACUGUUUGAAAACUACUGAGAGCCUGAACAACUUUAAAGAGCAGUGAUAAAUAAGGAUAAGUUGGAGAACUGACUACCAGCAGAGUAGUAGGGAUACUGAUUUUCGAUGCCAUGAAAAAACAGCUUUUUACCUCACGCCAUCAGACUACUCAACACACUUAAGAAAAUUCCAUGAACAGUACCCAAACAAAGACAAACAAACUGUGAAAAUAACUUUGGCUCAAUGUCUCCAGUACGAAAUUUGCACUUUUUCUAUAUUGCACCUUUCAUUGUUGCACCCUUUUCAAAAUACCUCAAAGUUUUUGCUACAUUUUGGCACACUGUGAAUAUUUUAAAUAAUGUAAUGUCUAUUGUCUAUUUUUAUAGGUAUGUUGUCUGUCUGUGUUUUUAAUAUUACUUGCACAUUUGGAGUAUGGGGAAACGUAAUUUCAAUCCUCUGUGCAACUACUGUUGCAUAAUUGAAUUGACAAUAAAGUUUACUUUGAACUU